UCCUAAAACACCAAUAACGCCUUUAAUUCAUUGAGAUUCCUAGUUCUAAGACACCUCUUCUACAAGUUUUCUAAGACUCCAAGAUACCUAGAUUCCAAGACUCGAAGACACCUUUACAAAGUUGUUGUGAUUCCAAGACUGUCGUUUUCUCUUGCAAUCGAGCUUCAUUAGACCGUGUUAUAUCAAAUUACAAAAUCCUAAGUCUCCUGUUAUUUAAUUUCUACUGAUUUUCCUUUGUGAUGCUAAUAAUUUAAUCGAUUUCCCUUUGCAUCCCCUCAGGCUUUUCAGAUCUACUUUUAUCUUUCUAUCAAUUGAUCUCUAUCUGUCUUAAUUAAUCUAAUUUUCUUACAGACUACCUUUUUUUGUCUCUUAAUCUUCCUGUUUGUUUUCUGUGUUUCUGAAAUCUAAUUGCUGAGGUCUUUUCUUGAUAUCUAGCCAACAGAUUUGAUUAAAUUAAUUUCCCUUAUUUCUUCAUCUCUGUUAAUUUCCCUUUAUUCUUUUUCUGGGUUUGUUCUUAGCAGACCAAUGAAGUUCUUUAAUUUCUGCAAAGGAAAAAUAAAAUCACUGCCAAAACUAAUGCAUUCUAGUCUGAAUACAGGUACCAUGUGCUAUAAUUAAAAUAAAUCAUGCUGAUGAUUUGAUUCAAAUUCAUACAAAGAAAGGCUUGCAGUGCUGCAAUGAGGUAAACCUAACCUCAAAUUUGUUGCCUAUUAAAUCUAGGAAUGUUGUGAGUAAAUCCUGCAUAUAUUUGGUUGGUCACCGUUUAUCACUUGAUUAUUGUGUUGUAACCAUAUUUAUAUGCGAUACGGUUGAACAUCUAUAUUACUGUCUCCUCCCUGCUCUUUACUAUGAUAGAAAACUAGAUGCUUCUUUAAGUUUGCAUUGUGAAAAUUAUUCUUGUUUUGUGCUAGUUGAAUUUAGAUACCCUGUAAUCUCUUAUUUUUGGCGGUUUAUAAGUAUGAUAGCCUGGAACUGCCAGGGCUUAGGAAAACUUGAUGCUAGAAAUAGUCUCUUAGAGCAUCCACAAUGGUACGAUCAUAACCAAAGAUCAAAGACCAAAACAAACGAUCAAAUUUGAGAGUAAUCUGGAGUGUGACGUUAAGGCAGUGGAGUAUAUUUAGUCGAGCGGAUGUAUAAUCUACGCUUGCAUGUGGAGCGUUCAUAUAAUCUUCGUCCCGAAGAGGCGUAGAUAUAGUUUACGCUGGUUGUGGGGCGUUGGUAAAGAAUACGCUCGUUGUGGGGCGUACAUAUAGUUAACGCUCGGAGAAGGGACGUAGAUAUAAUCUACGCCUGGUGUGGCGGACGGGUAAAUCAACGCCUCCUCCAGGCGUACGUAUAAUCAACGCCUCAUCCAGGCGGACGUAUAAUCAACGCCUCAUUCAGGCGAACGUAUAAUCAACGCCCCUUGUCAGGCGUACGUAUAGUGUUUGACUUGUAUUAACACACGUAUCGAGCACGUGUGGACUAAGAGAAACUACCACGUAUAGCACACGUGUUCACUUGGUGUUUACCCUAAUCUUCUCCGUCUUCUUCUUUUCUUUUCUUCUUUUCUUUUCUACCUCCUCUUUGUUUCUACCGCCCACAAACACAACACAUCACAGUAACUAGCAGGAAAAGAGAAUAAAAAAAAACGAGAUACUUGAUGAAUCCCGGUUAGAAAAGAGAUGUUGAACAAAUUCACAUCGCGGUUCAAUGGUCGCAUGAAGACGAACAAGAAACAAAAAUUUGUAGCCGAAGAGGAUUAUAACUUAAUCAGUACUGGUAAAAUUAAGGAGGUUGAUAUUCCCCGGUUAGGGAGGUUUCCUAUACUGCAAGAUGAUAAACCGAGGAGGUUGAUAUUCCCCGGUUAGGGAGGUUUCCUAUACUGCAAGAUGAUAAACCGCACGCUACUAUGGACAUCACAUUUACAGGGGAGCACAAAUUGAAGUAUCAACAUCGUGGAUCUCUGGCAUCGGUUUUUUAUUGUAUAUUUGUACUUAUGUAUUUUAUUUUUUCUUCACAGCAUGAAGCUUACACAUUAUUUCAAGAAAAUGCUGAUUUUAAUCAACAAUUUCGCGAUUUUACAUUAAAACAAACGAAGGAGAGGAUGGACGUUAUUAUGUCGAAAGAAGCAGAAAUACAAAGGCUAAAUAAUGCGAACGUUGAUUUGCAGCAACAACUAUCUCUUUUCCGUAUGCCGCACACUGUCCAACCUCCCCUUGGAUACGGUUCCUUUUCCCAAACAAUGCCACCACAAGUUUGGAGUGCUAUGAAUCUAGGAUCACCUUCAACAAUGUCCUCAGUCAAUACCACUCCGAGAACGCACAUUCCUUUUAUGGCACCAAGAUCAUCGACUUCGGAUACUGAUAAUAAGAAUGGUUAAUUUGUUAUGACUAUUUAGAUGACCUGUCUUUGGUGUUAUCUUUUCUUAUCUUUUUGUGUAGUCAUACUAGACCUACUGAUAGUUAGAUGCUUAUCUAUUCUUUCAGCGACUAGUCAUUUCAAGUCUACUCUGUUUGAUGUCAUCUUUAGUAGUCCUCUGAAGUUUGAGCGAGUAGUCAGUGUGUAUAGGAUUUUCACCUUCCAUUCUUAUUGUAUAGUCAUAUCAGGUCACUGACAAACACUUUAUCUUUUUUGGAAAACACUUUAUCUUUUUUGGAAA